rnacentral:rRNA from 1 species
UGGGGAAUUUUGGACAAUGGGCGAAAGCCUGAUCCAGCGAUGCCGCGUGUGUGAAGAAGGCCUUCGGGUUGUAAAGCACUUUUGUCCGGAAAGAAAUCCUUGGCUCUAAUACAGUCGGGGGAUGACGGUACCGGAAGAAUAAGCACCGGCUAACUACGUGCCAGCAGCCGCGGUAAUACGUAGGGUGCAAGCGUUAAUCGGAAUUACUGGGCGUAAAGCGUGCGCAGGCGGUUUGCUAAGACCGAUGUGAAAUCCCCGGGCUCAACCUGGGAACUGCAUUGGUGACUGGCAGGCUAGAGUAUGGCAGAGGGGGGUAGAAUUCCACGUGUAGCAGUGAAAUGCGUAGAGAUGUGGAGGAAUACCGAUGGCGAGGGCAGCCCCCUGGGCCAAUACUGACGCUCAUGCACGAAAGCGUGGGGAGCAAACAGGAUUAGAUACCCUGGUAGUCCACGCCCUAAACGAUGUCAACUAGUUGUUGGGGAUUCAUUUCCUUAGUAACGUAGCUAACGCGUGAAGUUGACCGCCUGGGGAGUACGGUCGCAAGAUUAAAACUCAAAUGAAUUGACGGGGUCAUA